rnacentral:rRNA from 1 species
GACGUAGGGCGCGAGCGUUGUCCGGAUUUAUUGGGCGUAAAGAGCUCGUAGGCGGCUUGUCGCGUCGACUGUGAAAACCCGCAGCUCAACUGCGGGCCUGCAGUCGAUACGGGCAGGCUAGAGUUCGGUAGGGGAGACUGGAAUUCCUGGUGUAGCAGUGAAAUGCGCAGAUAUCAGGAGGAACACCGGUGGCGAAGGCGGGUCUCUGGGCCGAUACUGACGCUGAGGAGCGAAAGCGUGGGGAGCGAACAGG